rnacentral:rRNA from 1 species
UUAAUUGAAGAGUUUGAUCAUGGCUCAGAUUGAACGCUGGCGGCAGGCCUAACACAUGCAAGUCGAGCGGUAACAGGGGAAGCUUGCUUCUCGCUGACGAGCGGCGGACGGGUGAGU